AUCCAUCUGACGAGUCCUGAAUAGGACAAAACGCACGUCCUGAAU
rnacentral:hammerhead_ribozyme from 1 species